rnacentral:tRNA from 1 species
AAUAAGGUGCCUGAUUAAAGGGUUAUUUUGAUAGAAUAAAUUAUGUAUAUUUUACCCUUAUUA